CUCUCCCAGCCAGUAGCACAGUGAGGGUCUCUCUCCCCAGCCAGUAGCAUAGUGAGGGUCUCUCUUCCCAGCCAGUAGCAUAGCGUGGGUCUCUCUCCCAGCCAGUAGCAUAGUGUGGGUCUCUUCCCAGCCAGUAGCAUAGUGUGGGUCUCUCACCCAGCCAGUAGCAUAGUGAGGGUCUCUCUCCCUCUCUCCCCAGCCAGUAGCAUAGCGUGGGUCUCUCUCCCCAGCCAGUAGCAUAGUGUGGGUCUCUCUCCCCAGCCAGUAGCAUAGUGUGGGUCUCUCUCCCUCUCUCCCCAGCCAGUAGCAUAGUGUGGGUCUCUCUCCCCAGCCAGUAGCAUAGUGUGGGUCUCUCUCCUCAGCCAAUAGUGUGGGUCUCUCUCCCCAGCCAGUAGCAUAGUGUGGGUCUCUCUCCUCAGCCAGUAGCAUAGUGUGGGUCUCUCUCCUCAGCCAAUAGCGUGGGUCUCUCUCCCUCUCUCCCCAGCCAGUAGCAUAGUGUGGGUCUCUCUCCUCAGCCAGUAGCAUAGUGUGGGUCUCUCUCCCCAGCCAGUAGCAUAGUGUGGGUCUCUCUCCCUCUCCCUCUCUCCCCAGCCAGUAGCAUAGUGUGGGUCUCUCUCCCUCUCCCUCUCUCCCAGCCAGUAGCAUAGUGUGGGUCUCUCUCCCUCUGCCUCUCUCUCCCAGCCAGUAGCAUAGGUCUCUCUCCCUCUGCCUCUCUCUCCCAGCCAGUAGCAUAGUGUGGGUCUCUCUCCCUCUCCCUCUCUCUCCCAGCCAGUAGCAUAGGUCUCUCUCCCUCUGCCUCUCUCUCCCAGCCAGUAGCAUAGUGAGGGUCUCUCUCCCUCUGCCUCUCUCUCCCAGCCAGUAGCAUAGUGAGGGUCUCUCUCCCUCUGCCUCUCUCCCCCAGCCAGUAGCAUAGUGAGGGUCUCUCUCCCUCUGCCUCUCUCUCCCAGCCAGUAGCAUAGGUCUCUCUCCCUCUGCCUCUCUCUCCCAGCCAGUAGCAUAGUGUGGGUCUCUCUCCCUCUGCCUCUCUCCCAGCCAGUAGCAUAGUGAGUGUCUCUCUCCCCAGC
ensembl:lncRNA